rnacentral:rRNA from 1 species
GUCUAUGGCCUCAGCACCCUGAAUACCGGUCUCAUCUGAUCUCAGAAGCUAAGCAAGGUUGGGUCUGGUUUGUGCUUGGAUGGGAGACACGUGAAUGCGUACGACCACGGAAG